ensembl:lncRNA
UCCAGUUGCCUUGCAUAGAAUAGAUGGCUACAAUAGGAGUUUGCAUGCAAGCUUAAAUUAACCAUUUCUAUGUUACGAAUGGAUCCAGACAAAAUGGACAACAUUUCCAGAUCCUUUGUGGAUCUACAUAUACAUUAAACUAAUUGAUAUUUCAAAUGAAAUGGUUUAUUAUGUGCAUGUUUUAGAUUACAAACAUGUUUGUAACUUGUAUAUGCUUUGUAAAUAAUCUUAUAUGGUACACUCACUGAAUUAUUUGUGUGGGAUUUGUUUUAGUACUCAUUGUUUUUAAGUUUGAUGAUGUUUUGUUCUUUUAUGGAAGCUUGUACAUUUGUAGAAAAUCUGUCCCCUUUCAUGUCUUUAUAGUUACAUUUCCGGAGUACCUAAUCAUUGAAUUAAAGCAGGGUUUUCCAAACUAGGGGUCCCAACCCCAUAUGGGGUCAACUGAUUUGAAUAUGCAUUUGGACGCAAGAGAAACUUGAGUAAAAGAUGCACUUGAUGCAUAGAACUGGGGUUACGCAUAGUUUGUAAAUGCUGUUUCAACAGGAAGGUUUCCUUCAAAUUACUGUUUUUUUUUUGUUUUUUUUUAAUAGUUCCUUAAAAAUAAGGCUUACUGAACAUCUCCUGCAUAGGCACUUAAAACAAUGGACAAGCAGUAUGUCAGACUGGCUGCACACUGAAAACCAUCUGACACACUGUCAUUCUGCAGCUCCGAUCAUGAAUAGUUGUAGUAAACAUAAAAAUGGGGUUACAGGCCAAAUAGUUUGGGAACCACUGAGAUAAUAAAUGAUCUAUUUUAAGAUUAUCAGAAGCCUCUGCGAUUUAGGUCCAUGCCAGAAGUAGAAUCGUAGGUUGUUUGUUUUUAGAUUUUGACUGUACUGAAUUGAAAUACUUGAUUUUUGACAUGCCCAAUGGGUUAAAGAGUAUGAACAUUCAAAUGUAACAUUUCAGAUGCAGUUCCUUGUCUUGGUCAGAAUUCCUCCUUAUACGUGCUAUGUAAAAUGCAUUGUAUAAAGUGUUUUGAAAGAAAACCUACAAUUGUAUGAGAAUGCAGAACCUAAUCUUUGCCUUAAUAAUAACAAAACUAGUAGUUAAAGGAGCAACGCUUAGGGUGGCCAGCAUCACCCUAAAGAUUCAAGGUCUUGAAUAUACAUCAUGCAAAAAAAAAAUACAAUUGUAAUGAAGGACCAGAGAACAGACUACAGGUUUUGGGAUCUGAGACACCCAAGAAGAGGGUCGGUAUCUUUUAAAAAUGUCCUCAAUGCUACUCAGGUACAUCAGAAACAGUUAUCUUCACCAUUCGUUUUGGACCUUUCUUCAUCCUGUAAUAGCAGUACAUAAACAUGACAUACUGUAAGUUAGAUUAUCAAACACUCUGACAUGCAAACUGCAAGUCACGCUUGUGUCAGUAUAAAGUAUGCUAAAUGCUGGAGGAUUUAAAUGUUACCAAAAUGAUGUACUUUGUGUAACCUGGCCUGAGAGGUACUACCAUUCAGCAUCUGGUUCCUGUGGAUUAACUGACAUUCAAAUGUAUUCUUGCCAGAACAAAGGGCUAGUUAUCAGUGAAGAUAUUUCAAUAUUAUUAUUAAUAUGAACAAUAAAAAUGUGAAAG